rnacentral:lncRNA from 1 species
CAAGGAGGUACAACUCAGACUUCCUGUGAGGGGAGUGGGGGCUCAGCCGUGGGUGAGUUAUCAUCUAAUCACACGUGUUGAGAAGCUGAGGUGCUGACGACUGUGAAGCCUCUCCUUCAAGACGGGGUUUCUUUUAGGGCAGCAUUAUUACUAAUACCUUCACUCUACAGCUUUUUGCAGUCCUGGGCGCCACGGUGAGCAAACACAUUUCCUGGGCAGCGUGGAAGGCACAUAGCAGAUAGCUAGCAGUUGUGUGCAAAAUGGACUGUGAAAUACACCAUCUUGGAACAGGCACAUAACUGGUCUAAGCAGUCUCCACAGACUGAAGCUGCUAGUCACUGAACCAGGACUUAAGGGCCCGCCUCUGUGCUCAAACAUCCCCCACAAUUACAGAUUAAAAACAACCCUUCCUUCAUGGCUGCAAGUGCAGGGAAACACAGAGUUGCCUGAAGAUCUGAAUGCGGCAUGAAACGUUCUCAGAGUUCAAGGUCUUGGAACAGAUCGUUCAUGAAGCCAGUCUUAUGAUUCACAGUCCUGGGUUCACUCUGUGGUCAAACCAGAAAAAAAUUAGAAGGAAGCCAGGUAUCUGGAAUGAAUUAACUCCCCCUCCCUUCCUCCCGCUUGCCCUCCUUCCCUCUUCUCCUUUCCCUUUCUCUUCCUUUUUCUCUCUCUCCCUCUCUCCUCUUUCUCUUUCUAAUUAUGAGGAGUACUGGAAAUUCAAACAGCUGGACCUUACAAUCAAACCUCUGUAUCUGAAUUUUCCACACCAAUGGUUCCAACGAUAAGGAACAAAAAUCUUUGGGAAGAGCAUCAGGACUGAAGAUGGAAGAAUCUCUACUUGUCCUCAUCCCCGAGGCAUGGCAUUCCCAGGUUCCAGCUGUGACCUCCUCCCUGCAGAUGCAGGCAGAAGAUGGUGUUAUGACAGAGGCGUUUUGCAGUGAUAAUGGGACCAGGUUCAUCUGGAGUUAGUGCUGCCCCUUCCUAAAGGGUUUCUGUUGCUGCGAACAGACAUCAUGACCACAGAAGCACUUAGAAAGGAAACGUUUCAUUUGGGUGGCUUACAGCUCAGAGGUUCAGUCCAUUAUCAUCAUGGUGGGACAUGGCAGCAUGCAGGCAUCAUGGAGGCAGACACGGUGCUGGAGAAGGAACUGAGAGUCCUACAUCUUGAUCCACAGAUGCUGUGUUUACAGGCAUGUGCAGCCAUGAUCAGCUUUUUACGUGGGUGUUGGGGAGUCAAACUGGAGUCCUCAUGUUUGUAGAGCAAUUGGUUGAGCCAGAAGCACUGGGAACAAUGUGAAUUUGCAACCGAGAUCUAAAGGAAGCACGAACAGCAUUGUGGGAUUGAUUCCUGAGCCUGUUGGAUCUGUGCUGAUGCCAAGUAGCUAGAACUGUAUGAACUAUAAUUAUUUGCUGAAAACCGUGUACAAGUUUCCAGCUUUUUAAAGAUUUCAGUUCAGUAGUGGUAUGGGUUUUACCCCUUUACUUAGCCUUCAUUCUUUUGCUUUUCAAAGUUUUACUGAGGCAUUUUUGACAAGCAAUAAACUGAGCAUACUCAAAGUCUGCAGUCAGCCCUCCGUGUCUGUAGGCUUUGUAAAUUCAAACCACUAUGAAUUGGAAAUAUUUUUUAAUUGCGCCUAUGCUGAAUUCGUACCGACCCUGUCCCCUUGUGAUCGUUCCCUAAACAAGACAUUUCCACUAAUGCUAUUUACAUAACAUUUACAAUACAUUAGGCAUUAUGAUUAUGAUUAGAGGUGGGUUCAAGAACAAGGAAAGAGAUGGCUAAAUUAUAUGCAAGUAGAACAACAUGUUAUAAAUGUCUUAAACAUUUGCAGGCUUUGGUAUCCAUUGGGGGUUUCUGGAACCAACCACCUGUGGCUAGUGAGGGACAACUGCCAUUCAACAAGUGUUUGCAUACGUCUACAUCAAGAAACCACUAGUUCCAUUAAGAUAAUGAGCUUACUUGUUAC